rnacentral:rRNA from 1 species
UACGUAGGUGGCAAGCGUUGUUCGGAAUUAUUGGGCGUAAAGGGCGCGUAGGCGGUUUGUUAAGUCGGUCGUGAAAGCCCGGGGCUCAACCCCGGAGGGUCGACCGAUACUGGCAGACUAGAGUACAGAAGAGGUAGCUGGAAUUCCCGGUGUAGCGGUGAAAUGCGUAGAUAUCAGGAGGAAUACCGGUGGUGUAGACGGCUCUCUGGACCGCGACUGACGCUGAGACACGAAAGCGUGGGUAGCAAACAGG